rnacentral:rRNA from 1 species
CCCUUAGAUGUUCUGGGCCGCACGCGCGCUACACUGACGAAUGCAACGAGCUUAUAACCUUGACCGAAAGGUCUGGGUAAUCUCCAAAUUUCGUCGUGAUGGGGAUAGAUUAUUGCAAUUAUUAAUCUUCAACGAGGAAUGCCUAGUAAGCGCAAGUCAUCAGCUUGCGUUGAUUACGUCCCUGCCCUUUGUACACACCGCCCGUCGCUCCUACCGAUUGAAUGGUCCGGUGAAGCGUUCGGACCGUGGCCUUUGGACGGUUCGCCGUCUGUUGGCUGCGGGAAGUUCGUUAAACCUUAUCAUUUAGAGGAAGGAGAANUCGUAACA